AGUGAACGCUGGCGGUAGGCCUAACACAUGCAAGUCGAACGGCAGCACAGUAAGAGCUUGCUCUUACGGGUGGCGAGUGGCGGACGGGUGAGGAAUACAUCGGAAUCUACUUUUUCGUGGGGGAUAACGUAGGGAAACUUACGCUAAUACCGCAUACGACCUGCGGGUGAAAGCAGGGGAUCUUCGGACCUUGCGCGAGUGAAUGAGCCGAUGUCGGAUUAGCUAGUGGGCGGGGUAAAGGCCCACCAAGGCGACGAUCCGUAGCUGGUCUGAGAGGAUGAUCAGCCACACUGGAACUGAGACACGGUCGAGACUCCUACGGGAGGCAGCAGUGGGGAAUAUUGGACAAUGGGCGCAAGCCUGAUCCAGCCAUACCGCGUGGGUGAAGAAGGCCUUCGGGUUGUAAAGCCCUUUUGUUGGGAAAGAAAAGCAGCAGGUUAAUACCCCGCUGUUAUGACGGUACCCAAAGAAUAAGCACCGGCUAACUUCGUG
rnacentral:rRNA from 1 species